UUUUUUUUUUUUUGCUUAAUACAAUAAUCAAUUUGAAUUAUGCGUUUACAAGCCUAUCCUAGUGGUAGAUAAACAUUGCAACUCAAGACAAACUCCCAAGUUUGAGUCUUCCUUCCCUUCCUUAGUAAUCCCAAAAAAGAAAAUUUGUACUAACAAACCAAUCAAGAGGAGAAAAAAGAGUAGCAUCCAUGCCAUUGCCAUGUAUAUGUAAAUCAAGCCCAUGCAGUCCUUGCUAAGAAAGCACCACAAUGUAGAAUUGGGAGUUGUUCAUCUUUUGAGGGAUGAUCAAGUGGCCUUUUAACAUAGACAUUCAUUCACUAUUCAGAAACAAAUCGGAUAAAAGAUACCUGGGAAAACCGAGUCUUAGAAUAGAUCAUCUCGAGCUUUGGCUCUCGCUGGUAUUCAAGAACAUCUACCUAAAUCUUGGUGAUUAUUGAAAACAGUAAAUUCAGGCACCUCCUCAAUAUCCCCUGUUGGCUGCCAUAAUUGCAAUAAAAGCCAUAGCAAAAAAUCAAUUAUCAUAACCAAGCAAAAAAGCUUCCCUGCCCAAGCACCACAGGAGAGAUACCUAAUAAACAAAUAAUGUUAGCAAGCCUCAAAAUUCUUGAUGAACUUUAAUUGACUUCAGACUCUUGGACAUUGCAUACCAGCAAUUAUAACUUGAAAUUCACCAUAAAAAUUUUCUCAGGAGAACCAUGCAUGAAUGGCAGAAGUAAAACUGUAUUAAGCUUCAGACUAACCUUAUUUUUAUUGCAUCAUUAUGCUUCCACAAAAUUAGAUGGCUCAAAUGUUCUCUAUUUUUAGAUCACAUAAGCACUAAAUACAGGCACUUUAGAUUCUUGUUAUGCAAAUAAAUCUAUACAAAACAGAUCAGCCAGUUGACAUAAUAAGCUCAUCUUAAUAAAUUGUACAAAAUAUGAUUAUCUGAUAAUAAAAGAUCUUGCAUUUGCAGACCGUGAGAGUCACUCUAAAAAAUUUUGAUUUGGGCAUUUCAAAGCACGGUCAUAUACAAUCUCUGUUCUUUUGUCAACAUCAUGCCAACUGUAGAGCUUCUUCAUCUAAUAGCAAACAUUAAAAAAAAAUUAGACCAUUGCACAAGUUGUAAAAAUUUUCAUAAAGAUCCAGGUUACCGUAAAUAAUUUACCACGCUUGCACGCUCAUGCAUAACUUGUGGGUCAAUUUUUGGAAGAAGAGAGAUUGCCUUUUUAAUUGCCUGUACCAUAUCACCAGGAUCUGGUUCUGCAAGUACAAUCAUGUCAUCUGGUAGGACCUCUGGGACACCUCCGACGCGUGUACUGACUGUCAAUAGUCCACAACUAGCAGCCUCUAAUAUUGCAAUGCAGAAUGCUUCUGUUAAAGAACUGUUCAAGAAUAUGUGGCCAGAAAUCAGGACAGAUCGCACACGUGCAUGCGGCACAGCACCCAACAUUUCAACUCGAUCUUGAAGAGAAUGUUUCUCCCUCAUCUCUUCCAGCCGCACACGUUUAGGUCCAUCUCCACCAACAAUAAAACGAACAUUUGGAAACAGAUGGCAAACUUCUGGAAUGACUUCAACGAGUAAGUCAGCACCCUUCCGAUAAACCAAUCUACUUAUGACAACAAUGACAAUUUCAUUACCACGAGGUCUCUCAGGACCAGGUUUGAACAUGGCAGUGUCUACAGCAUUUGGUAUCACAAAGACCUUUUCUGGAGGUACACCUGAUCGUAGCACCGUGUUUUCCUUGCUUGUAUGAGAAACACAGAUGGCCUGGCUAACAUCUGCUAAAGUAAACUGCAAUACUUUGUUCAUGUGGAUGCUUCCAACAUCAGCAAAACCAUAGAGUGAAUGAUCAGUAAAAACAACUUUGUAUCCCAUUGUACGUGCAUGCAUCAAAGCUUCAUGACAAAGAGUUGAGAAAGCUUGAUGACCAUGCACCAAAGAUAUUUUUUCACGAAUAAGAAUAGUCCUUAUAAUUGGAAGUGUCCCAUAAAAGGUUGGUAAUGUGUUUUGCAUAAGAAAUGGUCUCCAUGGUACAUAGUAAACUUUCAGGCCACCAGUCAUGUAUCUGACCCCAGAGCGAUUACCAUAAGCAUGAGUCAUAACCACCACCUUGUGACCAAGCUUUAGUAGACAUUGUGAUAGGUAAUAGAUGUGGCUUUCCACGCCACCAAAGUUAGGAUAGAAAAAAUCUGAAACCAUCAAGAUUCGGUGCUUCUGAUAUGCCAUUAGUCAAUCAAUCACCUUAAAUUCUUCAACACAUAAGCAUGUAAAUGAUGAAACAAAGAGUUCUUGUCACUCGUUGCCAACACAGAAGCAAGAAGUUUUUUUGAUCUUCUUGGUGACUUGGUGUCAUGGCAAUCAUGGCUACAUUUACCUCUUCAUGGCUCGUUAUAGAAACAGACUUCGAAUUAAUAACCGAAAAUUCACCAGGGCACGCAUUCAAUUUUCCAGAGAGCUAGCAUUUGCGUGUAUAAAGAGGAGGCAGAAUAUUCCCCGCCCUUUCCUCCCAACAGUUUUAGUGCCCAUGUUGAUAAGUAUUUCCCGUGAACCUUUCGACUGGUUAUUGCAAAUCCCCAACACAAAU
rnacentral:misc_RNA from 1 species